AGGUGUGCCGACUGGUGAUUGGCGUUCUCCAAAAACUGGACAUCCCCCUGGUGCAUGAGAUCAUUCACAAGCUGAUUCCUGAAGUGAAUCUUGUCAUCAGGGUCUAGGCCUUGCUGAAAGGACCCUGGUCUCUGCUCUGCUGGUUAGUGUGGUCCCUGCUCCACAGGAUCUGGGACAGUCUGUUACUCUGCUGGUAGGAGGCAGCAGGGGUCUUGAGACUAAUGACACUUAUAUAAGUCAGCUUUCCCUCCCUGUAACGAAAUGCCAAAAGUAAUAAAUUAUAAAGACAAAAGGUU